GAAAGCGAUAUGCGUAUACGCCAUCAGCACGGACACAUUACCCAGAACUCCCAGCCCCGUCUGCAGGAGGAACGAGACUCCUUUAAUGGUGAUACAAAGGUCCAUGGAGCCUGGAUUCUGAGCCACACAGUGAGACCGAGACUGUAAGAAAAUGCAAUAUGGACCAGAUUAUUGAAGAACUGAAAAGUUUUUUUUUUUGGUUGGGGUCAGAGCACAGGGUCAGCCAUGAUGCAGCGCCCAUGGAGCACGGUGGGUUGUGGGCCUUGCUCAAGGGCCCAAUGGUGGCAGCUUGCUGGCUUGAACCCCGAUCUUCCGGUCAACGACCGAGAGCCCUAACCACUUGAGCUACCACAGUUUAUGCAUGUGACAGUAAGAUACAGUGAGGAAGAACUUCUGGGCAUCAGCAAAGUUCACUACAAACUUGUUAUUGUAUGUCAGACUGUGACAUUCUACUACUUCUGGACCAACACCAGUUCGCGGGAAAAGGCAGCACCAGCCUCGCAUGAGUGGCGCAGCUGAUGAACAGUGCAUCCAGAGCACAGACAAGGCAAGAGAUGAGGGCUACAUGCUAGGCUAAAGGCUAGAGCCAUGCAACCAUCGCUACCUAGCCUGCUGCUACCUUAUGUCUGCUCACUUGAAAAUAAGAUGGAUGAACUGAGAACCAGACAUAUAACUUAUCGUGAGAUGUGAAAGGAAUAGGCAGGGAGUGUUCUUAUUUUAAUGGAAGCCUGACUCUUGGACAAGGCACCAGAUUUGGCUCUCCUGCUCCACACAUACACCAUUUGCAGUAAAGCCUUCCUCACCACAGUGUCGACAUGACAUAUCCAUGACAGGUCCUGUGAGAUGUGGACACCAAGGUACCAGAAGAUAUUCACUCUGUCCAUUGGGGUCCUAUUCAAGAUGGGGGGCUGGUAGUUCCUCUCCUGCUUUUUGCUAAAGUCCACUAUCAGCUCUUUUGUUUUGCACACAUUCAGGAAGAGGUGGUUCUCCAGCUUUUUGGUGACAAUGGAGAGGAUAAUAGUGUUGAAUUAAUGCUUGUCUCUACAUUCACAUUUCUGGAUUCUCCUUUUAAAAAUAUCUGGACAGGAUCGUCUUCUGAUGAGAAGGGCUGAAGAAAAUCGGCAUGUAAGUUCACUGCAGUUAUCUAAGGAAGUAGAAAGCCAAACUGGGGUGACUGUUUCCUGUGACACAAUACAGCGUACACUGCAGAGGAAUGGCAUGCAUGGGUGCCAUCUACGAAAGAAGCCUCUCCUAAAGCCCAGGCACAAAAAAGCCCACCUAGAGUUUGCCAGGACCCAUGCUGACAAAGAUGAAGACUACUGGGACUCUGUACUCUGGAGUGAUGAGACCAAGAUAAAUGUUUUUGGAACUGACGGCUUCAAAACUAUGAUGUCGCAAAGGUGAGGAAUACAAAGAAAAAUGCAUGGUGCCUACAGUAAAACAUGGUGGUGGCAGUGUCCUUAUGUGGGGCUGCAUGAGUGCUGCUGGUGUCGGGGAGCUCCAUUUCAUUGAUGGCAUCAUGAAUUCACUGAUGUACUGCUCUGUACUAAAAGAGAAGAUGCUACCAUCACUCUGUGCCCUUGAUCGUUGUGCACAUGUCCAACAUGACAAUGAUCCUAAACACACAUCUAAGGCCACUGUUGGAUUUCUGAAGAAGAACAGGGUGAAAAUGAUUCAGUGGCCAAGUAUGUGUUCUGAUCUGAACCCAAUCGAACAUCUAUGGGGAAUUCUGAAGAGACAAGUUGAGCAUCACUCUCCAUACAGCAUCCAAUAUCUAAAAUAGGUCAUUAUUGAAGAAUGGCAAAAGAUAGAUGUUGCAAAAUGUCUCCAACCUGUUCAUUCCAUGCCCUAGAAGACUUGCUGCUAUCAUUAAAAAUCAUGGAGGCCAUACAAAGUACUAGAUGAAGUAGUUUUUGUUGUGGGGUGUACUCAUUUUUGCAUCGCCCUAAUUUGAGUAAAACUGAAAAAAUCUAAGUUAUAUUAUUAACCUUACUUUCAUGUUAAAAGUUAAACAGGUGUUAUAUUAAACUUAGUCUUAACAUUUUGAAAAUUGGUUUUGUGUUUAUUGAGAUAUUGUUUAAAAUGUUACUUUUCAAAGGUGGUGUACUCAUUUAUGCUGAGCAUAUACAUACAUAAGCAUAUAUCUUUAUUUACACAGCUGAAUAUAGAGCAAAUAAUGCACAAAUCUGCACACAAAUCCUCUGGUCCAGAUUCAUACACACUAUUAUUAUUUAUUUAAUCUUACUAUUUAAAUGUUUUCUGUUCUCCUGCCAGAUAUGUGAAUAUGUAUGUAUGUAUGUAUGUAUGUAUGUAUGUAUGUAUGUAUGUACAUAUGUAUGUAUGUACCAAGAGCACCUUAAAAAACCACAACAAAUUCCUUGUGUCUGUGCACACUUGGCGAGUAACACACUUUGUCAAUCUAUGGACCUUUUAUGUUUAAUAGACUCGUUCAAUCAUGAAGAGGAAUCCUGUGGACAUUUGAGGUGGAUUCUCACGUGUGCUUCAGGGAAGUUUUGUGGAUAUUACCAUUUUGGAUUACUAUUAUCUUUUUUUCUUUCACCUGGAACUUAAACAUGUAAUGAUCCUCAUUAUCUUCACCUUCAUCAUCAUUCAGCCAAGUUCGUACUUGCAUUACGCUACCUGGGCUAAAGACAUAAAACUCAUUGACAUUUAUUCCCUCAUGUGUGGUUGUUUAUUGUUAUUGUUAUUUUCAAUUUAUUCUUUCUUUUGUUUAUUGUGUGCAUUGUAAAUAUUCAUUCAUCUAUGUGAGGCAUUCAUAAAAAGUAUAUAUAAUCUUUCUGGA